CAUCCUGCCCAGUGAAUUAAUUUUCAACGGCCGCGGUAUCCUGACCGUGCAAAGGUAGCAUAAUCAUUUGCCUUUUAAUUGAAGGCUAGUAUGAAAGGACACACAAGAAUAAUACUGUCUCAUUUGGGUUAUCUUAAAACUGAUUUUUAGGUGAAGAAGCCUAAAUUUCCAUAAAGGACAAGAAGACCCUAUAGAGCUUUAUCAGUAAAAGUUAUUAAACUCCCUUACUGUUUUGGUUGGGACAACCAAAAGACAAUAACACCUCUUUUUCUAAUAAUACAACUCACACCCAUAAUUGAAUUAGAAUUUCAAGCUACCUUAGGGAUAACAGGCUAAUCCCACUAGAGAGAUCACAUUGACAGUGGGGAUUGGCACCUCGAUGUUGGCUUAGUGUUACCAUUAGGCGCAGCCGCUUAAUUGA
rnacentral:rRNA from 1 species